rnacentral:rRNA from 2 species
UACGAACUGUGCGAACGUUAUUCGGAAUCACUGGGCUUACAGGGUGCGUAGGCGGCUUUUCAAGUCAGGUGUGAAAGCCCCCGGCUCAACCGGGGAAUUGCGCUUGAAACUGGAGAGCUCGAGUCAGCUAGAGGUGCACGGAACUUCCAGUGGAGCGGUGAAAUGUGUUGAUAUUGGAAGGAACACCGGAGGCGAAAGCGGUGCACUGGGGCUGGUCUGACGCUGAGGCACGAAAGCCAGGGUAGCGAACGGG